rnacentral:rRNA from 1 species
GGCGAACGGUCGCGUAACACGUAGGCAACCUGCCCAGAAGUGGGGGACAACAGCUUGAAAGAGCUGCUAAUACCGCAUGUGGCCAAAGAGUGGCAUCACUUUUUGUCUAAAGCUUUAUGCGCUUCUGGAUGGGCUUGCGGCCUAUCAGGUAGUUGGUGGGGUAAUGGCCUACCAAGCCGACGACGGGUAGCUGGUCUGAGAGGACGAUCAGCCGGGUUGGGACUGAGAUACGGCCCAGACUCCUACGGGGGGCAGCAAUUAGGAAUCUUGCGCAAUGGGGGCAACCCUGACGCAGCGACGCCGCGUGCGGGAUGAAGGCAUUCGUGUCGUAAACCGCUUUUUACGGGGAAGAAGAAUUUGACGGUACCCGUCGAAUAAGCCCCGGCUAACUACGUGCCAGCCGCCGCGG